AAUAGCCAUAUUCUGGAACUUCAACUCAGUGGUGCAUUGACCCCAAAAGCACAUGUCAAAUACCAUUGCAAAGAAUGCCAAGGGAUGAUCUAAAUUCCUUUGUAGUUUUGGAAUUUUGCACUUGAAUAUUAAUUAAAGUAAGUCGGCCAUGGACCCGGGUUUUAAAACAUUAUAUUCCAAUGAGAGAAUCUUAUAACUGGGUUUUCUGGAAGAAAAUUUGAUUGCUGAUGCCUGUCUAUCUUUUCCUCCAUAGGAACAAAAUGACUGAACUAUGGAGAACGGUUUGAUGGAGGAGAAAACUGAAACUCAGGGCACGACUGAGAAUUUUGGAUGAUAUACCAAAUUCAGUUAAGCAUGAUUUCCUAAAGUGGCACAGUGGAUAAAGACAGAUAGAAUCUUUGCCCUCAGCAUACUUUUCAGUCAUGGCAGGAUCAUCUGGAGGAUUUACACAUGAUGAAAAAAAGAAAGGAGGAAAGAAAAAACAUUUUCCUAUGAUAACUGAAUAAGUGUUUGGAAGAUAAAGGGAAAUGACAACUCUAUGACGGUUCCAGGUUGCCCCUUAUCUAGCUUCCUUUGGCCAUCCUUUUGGAGAGGACCAAUGACAUCAUGGGAUGAGGUCUUAACUUGUAUAUGUAUGGGAUUUAAAUGAAGCUGAAGACAAAAGCCAGGACUACUGAUGAUGACCCAGAAUGCAGUGGAUGACCUUGGAAUCUUCUUAUCCAGAUAACAGUUUUUAAAAUGACCAUUUCCAUUCAAGGCACUGAAAACAACUGCCCAUGUGACUAUGGGGAAA
rnacentral:lncRNA from 1 species